UACGGAGGGUGCGAGCGUUGUCCGGAAUCACUGGGCGUAAAGGGCGCGUAGGCGGCCUGAUAAGUAGGGGGUGAAAUCCUGCGGCUUAACCGCAGGGCUGCCUUCUAAACUGUCAGGCUUGAGCACAGUAGAGGCAGGUGGAAUUCCCGGUGUAGCGGUGGAAUGCGUAGAGAUCGGGAAGAACAUCAGUGGCGAAGGCGGCCUGCUGGGCUGUUGCUGACGCUGAGGCGCGGCAGCGUGGGGAGCAAACAGG
rnacentral:rRNA from 1 species